UAAGGCGGCCGAGGCAUCGGGGAUCCACCUCUUCCCAUUCCGAACAGAGAAGUUAAGCCCGACAGCACCGAUGGUACUGCACAAACGUGCGGGAGAGCAGGCAGCCGCCGUCU
rnacentral:rRNA from 1 species